AUUAUUAUCAUUCAUUCAAUAAAAGCAUUUCUCUCUGGAUUUCUCUGGAACCUCUCUCUCUUCUCUUCCUUUUCUUGGUAUGUAGAUUUAGGGUUUCCGCCAAGUUUUCUUGUUUUUCUUUGAAGUUUCGUUUCUUGAGUUGAGUCUUGGCACUUUUCAGCUAUUUUUAUUGAUUUGGAAUUACAUUUUGAAGGAAACUACAUUUUUUCUGUUUUGACUACCACCUAAUUGAACACUUGCUCCAGAGGACCUUAAGACAUAGCUCUUUUUCACUACCCAGAAGACAAAGAAAUAUUGCAAAGGCAGCAAGAAGACUAACAGCUCAAUCUUCCCAAGAAACUGGAAAAACUAUACCCAUUUUGGAUAUCAGAUGGAAUGCCAGGUUACAAAUCUGAGUUUAAAAAUCAGCCUUCUUCCAAGAGACUAAGAAUGAUUUCCUCCCUCAUCCUGGCACACCUAGUAGCCCUUGUGAAUUGCCGUAGUUGAUGAAGUCUAUGGAACAAUUUUCAGAGUUGAGGCAUGAUAAGUAUCAUUGCUACCAAAUGUUUAUUAACAGAUGAAAUUAAUUGAGCAUGCUAGAGAAAUUAAUUUUACAAGUUUGCAUUUGAAUUUUUCUGGGCGUACUUGAAAAAUGACUCCACAUAAAAGUCUCUACCAACUUUCAUAUCUUUCUUCCGGAAAUCUCUCAACGAAGUGAUCGGUACCCCCCUGGAUUUGCUUUUCGACCAUCUCAAUGUAAACUUCUCUCAUUUCAUUUCAUUUCAUCACAAUUCUCUUAUCAUUUAUGACACUUUUUGCCUCUCUUCUUUGCUUUUUUCUCUUUUCAUUUAUGACACUUUUUGCCUCUCUUCUUUCCUUUUUUUGUUGAGAAUGUAGUCAAACAAGUAGGUAGGUUGGUGCUUUGGCUUAACUGUGUUAGAGGAGGUACAAACCUUUCAGCAGAAAACUAACGGUUAGUUAAUGACUCAUUUAGUAAAAUCCAACGGCUUAGAAUCAAUGUUAGUGUGCUUUCUCUAUAAAAGAUAAAUGGUGGUUAUUGCAUUUCACCAAGAUUGCCACAUCAGACACAAAGGAGUAUAAAUUCAAAUGAAAUUCAAGCAAUGUAACUUUUUGCCAUUAUAUUAAUAAAAUAAGAGGUUAUACAGUAUUUCAGUUCAUUCUUUUUCUCUUUAUGAACUUAGGGUUCCUUUUUUGCUCUUCAAUUUUUUUUUUCAAUCAAUCUACACUGUUUUCAUUUUUUCACCAAAUUUUAGUAUCAUUACACUUUCCGAUAAACAGAGUACUCUGUUUUUGCAACCAUUUGUUUCAUCUUUAACACCUUUCUUGUGGCACUUUCGGAUUGUUUGAAUGAUGCGGGUGUUGAAGAAAUCGUGAAAGAAGCGCAACACAGGUGAUUGAAUGUAGUUGAAAUAUGCAAAAUAUUUGAAAACAAUGAAAAGCUUCAAAUACUUGCCUCUCAACCACAACGAAGGCCUCCAAGUAUUGUUUCGUUUGGGAUUUUAUUUUUCUAACCUUUUAUGGAUGUAAUUUGGCUAAGUUACAUUAAUUGCAAGUGGCUCCUUUUUUGUCAUUAAGUUGCAAAGGCUUUGAGAGUUUAGGAAGGAUGACCACAUGUGGAGUAAAAAGAAAAAGAAAAAGAAAGAUGCAAAGACGGUACAUGAGUUUAUUAAAAUUUUAAGGCUUUGACCGGCAUUAGAGAUCGCUCUUCUCAGUCACCAGUUUCUGAGAAUGUGGUUGUAUGCUCUGUAAAUGCUGAUUGCUCUGAGAGUCUGAUUUGUUCCUUAUGCUUUUCAGCUAUUUUUGUUGAUUUGGCAGUAAAUGCUUGAGCCUAAUAUGAUAUCCAUUUCCCCUUUCAUUUUGAAGGAAACCGCAUUUUUUCUGUUUUUGACUGUAACCUAAUUGAAUACUGCAGCUGCAGAGGGCCUUCAGACAUAGCUCUUUUUCACCACUGAGAAGACAAGGUUAGCUCAUAUCUUUCUAUUUUUGUGCCUCGUCUGUACUCAUGUAAAUCUGCUUCUUUAUUUCAUGCCCUUCAAUUCUAAUUGUCACAUUGUUUCUGAGAAUGUGAGGAAGCCAGGAAAUAUUGCAAACGCGGUAAGAAGUCCACCAAUGUAACAACCCAAUCUUUCCAAGAAACUGAAAAAACAAUACCCAUUUAGGGGGUUUUAGGUUCUUGUUCUUCUAACUUUAUUUACAAGUAAUAAGUUGAUUAGCUUGCUUUGAUUAGUUAAAAUCUGUGCUUUCUCUUCCAGGAGAUGGAAUGCUGUAUUACAAUUUUGGGUUUGAAAAUAAACCUUUCCCCCAAGGGACUAAGAACGAUUUCCUCCCUACUCCUGGUACACCUAGUCGUCAUUAUGAUUUGCAGGAGUGAAAGAAGUCUGGAACAAUUUUCAGAGGUAAAGCUUUAUAUCAAUCUCAUUCUCUUCAACUUUUUUAAAGAUCAUAAAUUUGUUGUUUCAACCACGAAAAAGUAUAGUUUCUGAAAAUCAUUGAAGUAGAUGUGUUUGAUUCUUUGUAAUACUGAUUUUUCAUUCGUUAUAUAUAGAUAUAUCAGUUAAAAGAUUUUUGACAA